GUAGGUGGCAAGCGUUGUCCGGAAUUAUUGGGCGUAAAGCGCGCGCAGGCGGGUCCUUUAAGUCUGAUGUGAAAGCCCACGGGCUCAACCGUGGAGGGUCAUUGGAAACUGGGGGACUUGAGUACAGAAGAGGAAAGCGGAAUUCCAAGUAUAGCGGUGAAAUGCGUAGAGAUUUGGAGGAACACCAGUGGCGAAGGCGGCUUUCUGGUCUGUAACUGACGCUGAGGCGCGAAAGCGUGGGGAGCAAACAGGAUUAGAUACCCUGGUAGUCCACGCCGUAAACGAUGAGUGCUAAGUGUUAGGGGGUUUCCGCCCCUUAGUGCUGCAGCUAACGCAUUAAGCACUCCGCCUGGGGAGUACGGCCGCAAAGGCUG
rnacentral:rRNA from 1 species